rnacentral:rRNA from 2 species
AACUGAAGAGUUUGAUCAUGGCUCAGAUUGAACGCUGGCGGCAGGCUUAACACAUGCAAGUCGAGCGGGGGAAGGUAGCUUGCUACUGGACCUAGCGGCGGACGGGUGAGU